AAAUUGAAGAGUUUGAUCAUGGCUCAGAUUGAACGCUGGCGGCAGGCCUAACACAUGCAAGUCGAGCGGAAACGAGUUAACUGAACCUUCGGGGGACGUUAACGGCGUCGAGCGGCGGACGGGUGAGUAAUGCCUAGGAAAUUGCCCUGAUGUGGGGGAUAACCAUUGGAAACGAUGGCUAAUACCGCAUGAUGCCUACGGGCCAAAGAGGGGGACCUUCGGGCCUCUCGCGUCAGGAUAUGCCUAGGUGGGAUUAGC
rnacentral:rRNA from 1 species